rnacentral:rRNA from 1 species
CCGCACGGGUGAGUAACGCGUAUCCAACCUGCCGUCUACUCUUGGACAGCCUUCUGAAAGGAAGAUUAAUACAAGAUGGCAUCAUGAGUCCGCAUGUUCACAUGAUUAAAGGUAUUCCGGUAGACGAUGGGGAUGCGUUCCAUUGGAUAGUAGGCGGGGUAACGGCCCACCUAGUCUUCGAUGGAUAGGGGUUCUGAGAGGAGGUCCCCCACAUUGGAACUGAGACACGGUCCAA